rnacentral:rRNA from 1 species
UACGUAGGUCCCGAGCGUUGUCCGGAUUUAUUGGGCGUAAAGCGAGCGCAGGUGGUUUAUUAAGUCUGGUGUAAAAGGCAGUGUCUCAACCAUUGUAUGCAUUGGAAACUGGUAGACUUGAGUGCAGGAGAGGAGAGUGGAAUUCCAUGUGUAGCGGUGAAAUGCGUAGAUAUAUGGAGGAACACCGGUGGCGAAAGCGGCUCUCUGGCCUGUAACUGACACUGAGGCUCGAAAGCGUGGGGAGCAAACAGG